UUGAACUAAUACCGUAUGCGCCCUUCGGGGGAAAGAUUUAUCGGAGUUGGAUGAGCCCAUGUCUGAUUAGCUAGUUGGUGGGGUAAAGGCCUACCAAGGCGACGAUCAUAACCUGGUCUGAUAGGAUGAUCAGCCACACUGGGACUGAGACACGGCCCAGACUCCUACGGGAGGCAGCAGUGGGGAAUAUUGGACAAUGG
rnacentral:rRNA from 1 species